rnacentral:misc_RNA from 1 species
GAUGAAGAACGUAGCGAAAUGCGAUAAGUAAUGUGAAUUGCAGAAUUCAGUGAAUCAUCGAGUCUUUGAACGCACAUUGCGCCCCCUGGUAUUCCGGGGGGCAUGCCUGUCCGAGCGUCAUUGCUGCCCUCAAGCACGGCUUGUGUGAUGGGCUUCGCCCCCCGAUCUUCGGGGGGCGGGCCCGAAAGGCAGCGGCGGCACCGCGUCCGGUCCUCGAGCGUAUGGGGCUUUGUCACCCGCUCUGUAGGCCCGGCCGGCGCCCGCCGGCGACACCCAAAUCAAUCUAUCCAGGUUGACCUCGGAUCAGGUAGGGAUACCCGCUGAACUUAAGCAUAUCAAUAAGCGGAGGA